AACAAAGCAAAGUUUAAACACUUUAAUUGAUUAACACAAAUAAAGUUUUAAGAUUAAAACCGUUACAUAUGUUACAAGCAGUCCAAAAGGCAUUAUACAUAAUUAUCCAAAAAAGUCCAACGUUACAUCAAAGUGAACUUGAAAAACAAAGUUGUUGCAAACCCAGCUGUUUGGAAACGGAACUCUCAAAAGCCAGCGGCCAAAACCAUCUUUUAGGCCAAAGCACUCUAAAAUUCCAACCUUCUCUUCGAGCCAACAGGCAUCCGUUCCUUCCCCCUCAAUUGGGUUUUUGACCUGCGAAGGAAGUGACAAUUUGAGUUAAAAAGUCUUUUCAAUAAACACUUAAAAAACUAAAGAACAAUUGAUAAAAUGAUCAGGUUAAUGCUUUGCACAAAAGACCAUAACAAACGCCCAGUUCAAACAACAUUGAAUCCACAAAAUAACAAUCCCACGAAAUCUAGGAUGAAAAGAUAUCCUGACAAAAUUAUCUUGGGACUUAAAAAUUCAUCAUGAAGAAGAUAAGAACAUAUAUACCCAGAGAACUAUUUCAUUUGAGGGGACGACGGUGAAUCAUAAGAAGAGAGAAAAUCAAAAAUUAAAAAAACACACAGCAUUCAAAAAGAAAAACAGAAGAAGACAAAGAUUGAGAGGAAAGGAAAACUUAUCUGAAGCUUCGUCGGAGGAGACCUUGCCGUCGAACCGCUCUCGAACCAAGUAGCUUUCCUCUCCCUUUUUACUUAAAUUUUGUACGCCAUCCCAUUCGUCCUUGUGCACUGAGUAAAACCCCCUUCGAAAUUUCUUUGAUUUACAACUGUUGAAGGUCUAAUUUCAAAAUUAGGGUUAGGGUUUUAACUGUUUGUUAGUUGCUAUUUAGGUUUUGAUUUGUUGUUAGAGCGAAUUAGGGUUUUUGUUGGUUGCGUGAGAGAUCGUUGAAGUUAAGGUUUAAGUUUAUGUUUUUUUUGGUGAACCCCGAUCCGGUCGAUUGAGGCUGAUUUAGGGGAAAGGGAGGCCGGAUUUGGAUUCUCCGGCCGAAAAGAGAGGGAGUUAGUGUUGGGAGUUUGGUGAUUUGAGAGGUGGUUCGCUGGAGAAGAAGGUGGCGCCGCCGUCGUUGGCCGGUAACCACCGUCUUCUCCGGUAGGUUUUUGGCUGUGAGUUGGAUGAAGUUGCAGAGCGUGAGAAGAAGUUUUGAGUGAAGAGAGAGAAAGCGAACAAACAAA
rnacentral:lncRNA from 1 species